UACGUAGGAUGCAAGCGUUGUCCGGAAUUAUUGGGCGUAAAGAGCGCGCAGGCGGUCUGCCAAGUCAGAUGUGAAAGAGGCCGGCUUAACCGGCAAGGGUCAUUUGAAACUGACAGACUAGAGUGCAGCAGAAGAUAGCGGAAUUCCCGGUGUAGUGGUGAAAUGCGUAGAUAUCGGGAGGAACACCAGUGGCGAAGGCGGCUAUCUGGGCUGCAACUGACGCUGAGGCGCGAAGGCUAGGGUAGCAAACAGG
rnacentral:rRNA from 1 species